rnacentral:misc_RNA from 1 species
UCCGGUUUGUCACCGGCAGUCUCAUUAGAGUGCCCUUUCGUAGCAACUAAUGACAAGGGUUGCGCUCGUUGCGGGACUUAACCCAACAUCUCACGACACGAGCUGACGACGGCCAUGCAGCACCUGUGUUCUGGCUCUCUUUCGAGCACUUCCACAUCUCUGCGGAAUUCCAGACAUGUCAAGGGUAGGUAAGGUUUUUCGCGUUGCAUCGAAUUAAUCCGCAUGCUCCGCCGCUUGUGCGGGCCCCCGUCAAUUCCUUUGAGUUUUAGCCUUGCGGCCGUACUCCCCAGGCGGGGCGCUUAAUGCGUUAGCGACGGCACCGAGGGGGUCGCUCCCCCCGACGCCUAGUACCCAUCGUUUACGGCGUGGACUAC